rnacentral:rRNA from 1 species
GCCUACGGGGGGCAGCAGUAGGGAAUCUUCCGCAAUGGGCGAAAGCCUGAUGUAGCAACGCCGCUUGGGUGAAGAAGGUCUUCGGAUCGUAAAACCCUGUUGUUAGAGAAGAAAGUGCGUGAGAGUAACUGUUCACGUUUCGACGGUAUCUAACCAGAAAGCCACGGCUAACUACGUGCCAGCAGCCGCGGUAAUACGUAGGUGGCAAGCGUUAUCCGGAUUUAUUGGGCGUAAAGGGAACGCAGGCGGUCUUUUAAGUCUGAUGUGAAAGCCUUCGGCUUAACCGGAGUAGUGCAUUGGAAACU